GCUUCCAUAGCUCAGUUGGCUAGAGCAGCUGAUUUGUAAUCAGCAGGUCGUGGGUUCGAGUCCCUCUGGAAGCU
rnacentral:tRNA from 1 species